rnacentral:sRNA from 1 species
AUUAAAAGUGUUAACAUUUCAACUUCAAAUUCAUGUUAUGUACAGGUGCUAACCAAAAGUGAAUACUUUUAAAAUGCAAUGUUUUUUAAUGUCGAAAACCUAAAUGACCUCUAUAGCUAAUCACAGCAACUGGGGAUAUAUACUCUAGUCUGUAAGCAAUGCUCUUUAACUUUUUAAGUUUAAAAAAAAAAUUUUUUCAAUAAAAAGGUCAUCAGGGUUACUUGUAUAACCCUUUUCAUCUGUAGUUGUUUAUAGUUUCCAUUGUUAGUGAACUUGUUAAAAGUUUUUAACUUUUAAUGUUCUUCAGCACUGUUGGAUAACUCUAAAUUAUUAGGAAUUUUUUUAUUCAUACAGUAAAUCUACCUUUUAGAUAUUUAUUUUCAAUGAUGUUUGGUUGUGAUCUUUUUUUUGAGGCACAUAUCAUUCACUUUGUUUAGUUAUUUAAUUGACAUUAUUUUGUGUAUCAUUUGAUAGUUGUAUUAUACCCAGGUGACUGUCAAGGCCUAUGGGCCUCUUGAGUACCAUUCAAAUCACAGGCACCGAACAUUCUUAUAUAAGUACUUGUAUUUGUUUUUUCUCAUUGUUAAAUAACUAUAUAUACAGUAUACUAGUAGUAUACAGGGUGUUAUUUUUUCAUAAAGAGAAAAAUAAACAAGGCCAGAGGUUCCUAUGAUUCAAACAUUUUAUUAUGUUGAAAUCCUCAAAAUACAAAAUACAUGUAUUAUCACCUGCAGUUGGCCUCAAGGAACUUGCCGUUUAUUCAUGACAUGUAGAUUGAAGUUUCUUUUAAUACCAUGGAACUAUAUUACUUUUGAAUAUCUAAUUUGCUUAUUUGUUUCAGAUUAUUCAUGUUUUAUUUGCCUGCAUGUUCUUUAAUGGCUAAUUUAUAUUACACAUGUAUGUACUUGUUAUUUGCAUAUAUUUCAUAUUCAUUUGUAGAAUUGCCAUCAUCAAAGUUGUAUUAUUUUGUAACAUUUGUGAUUGCAAGUCUUUUAGAGGAUAAAAGGGAUUAGAAAGUUGUUAUUAUCAAAUUAAACAAAUGCAAACAGUGGCUUCAUAUUCAUAUUAAAUAUUCUGUUACCUUGAAUAAAAAUGAAUACCAAUAAG